rnacentral:lncRNA from 1 species
UAAAAGUGUGGGCUUUCCAGAAAGAGACAACACGUUAUGAAAAAGAGAAGGAAGGUUAGUUUGCUUACAAGGACCACCUAGGAAACUUAAUCCCACCAAUACCCACUUCUGGCUGUGUGCUGUGGUUUGGUUAUUUGUCCCCUCAAAUUUCAUUUUGAAAUGUAAUCCCUAGUGUUGGAGGCAGGGCCUGGUGGGAGGUGACUGGGUCAUGUGGGUGGAUCUCUCAUGGCUUAGUGCUAUCCUAGUGAGUUCACGUAAGAGCUGGUUGUUUGUAAGUGUAUGGCACCUCACCUCCCCCCAACUCUCUCUCUCUUGCUCCUGCUCCUGCCAUGUGAGACACCUGCUCUGCCUUCAUCUUCUGCCAUGAUCGGAAGCUUCCUGAAGCCCCCCAGAAGCCAAACAGAUGCUAGCACCAUGUUUCCAGUACAGCCUGCAGAACAGUGAGGAUAUUGAGGCUCAGGAGGUGCAAAACUUGCCAGUGGCCCCACAUCCAGUAAGUAACAGGCUGAAGUUUUAAUCCCAAGGCCCACAUGCUUUAUUCAUGCUUUGCCUCAAGCUUUGGGUUAAGAAAAAAUUUCAAUUAGAAUUACACAGAUUCUGUGGAGAAAAACACAAAUCUACCUGAAAAUUCAUCAGCUAGAUGGAAUGCAGCAUGUACCUCUCUUCACCUCCCAUUGAAAUGACUUAGCAGUGUAAGUUCUUAUUUGCAAUAGACAUUGACUGAGCACCUACCACAAAGAAGGUACCAUUCUCAGGAAUGUGAAAGGCAUACAAAUAGGUUACACAUGGUGCUCUCACUUGAUACGCAAAUUUUUAUUCUUGCACAUAUUUUGUGUUCAAAAUUCCAGAGGUAGAGACCUCUGGGGUUUUGGAGCAAGGCCCCACCAUCUUCUGCAGAUAACUACUCUCCUUUUGAGAGACAGCUCUUGGCCUGUUACUGGGCUUUGGUGGAAACUGAACGUUUGACUGUGGGUCAUCAAGUCACCAUGUGACCUGAACUGCCCGUCAUGAACUGGGUGCUUUCUGACCCAUCUAGCCAUAAAGUGGGCCAUGCUCAGCAAUAUUCCAUCAUCAAAUGGAAGUAGUAUAUAAGUGAUUGGGCUUGAGCAGGUCCUGAAGGCACAAGUAAGUUACAUGAGGAAGUGGCUCAAAUGCCCAUGGUCUCCACUCCUUCCACCCUGCCUUCUCUUCUCCAGCCUGCACUGAUGGCCUCAUGGGAAGUCUCCUAUGAUUAGUUGACAGAGGAAGAAAAGACUAGGGCCUGGUUCACAGAUGAUUCUGCAUGAUAUGCAGGCACCACCCGAAAGUGGACAGCUGCAGCACUACAGCUCCUUUCCAGGACAUCCCUGAAGGACAGCAGUGAAGGGAAGUCUUCCAAGUGGGCAGAACUUCUAGUAGUGCAGCUGGUUGUGCACUUUGCAUGGAAGGAGAAAUGACCAGAUGUGUGAUUAUACACUGUUUCGUGGGCUGUAGCCAAUGGUUUGGCUGGAUGGUCAGGGACUUGGAAGAAGCAUGAUUGGAAAAUAGGUGACAGAGAAAUUUGGGGAAGACCUCUCUGAGUGGUCAAAAACUGUGAAGAUAUUUGUAUCUCAUGUCAGUGCUCACUAACAGGAGACCAGUAGAGGAGGAUUUUGAUAAUCAAGUGGAUAGGAUGACUACUUCUGUGGACACCACUUAGCCUCAUUCCUCCGGCCACCUC